CACGGUCCAGACUCCUACGGGAGGCAGCAGUGGGGAAUAUUGGACAAUGGGCGAAAGCCUGAUCCAGCCAUGCCGCGUGUGUGAAGAAGGUCUUCGGAUUGUAAAGCACUUUAAGUUGGGAGGAAGGGCAGUAAGUUAAUACCUUGCUGUUUUGACGUUACCAACAGAAUAAGCACCGGCUAACUUCGUGCCAGCAGCCGCGGUAAUACGAAGGGUGCAAGCGUUAAUCGGAAUUACUGGGCGUAAAGCGCGCGUAGGUGGUUCGUUAAGUUGGAUGUGAAAGCCCCGGGCUCAACCUGGGAACUGCAUCCAAAACUGGCGAGCUAGAGUAUGGCAGAGGGUGGUGGAAUUUCCUGUGUAGCGGUGAAAUGCGUAGAUAUAGGAAGGAACACCAGUGGCGAAGGCGACCACCUGGGCUAAUACUGACACU
rnacentral:rRNA from 1 species